CUGCACCUCUCUUAGCCCUCAUUUAAGGGCUGAAUGUCAUGGGGGAAGGGUCUCUGGUUGGAGAUCCCUCUUGUCUGGAGUUUUCCCUGUGAGCCUAAGUUUUCAGAGAUGGGCAGGGUUAUCUCCUGCCAAGUGCUUGGGUUUAGCAACUGAACUACAUCCUUCAGCUGCACCUAAAAGCGAAGAAAUGCUGUAGCUGGGAGGGCACUGCCCAACUCCUCCUUCACUGGGACAGCACGAUAACACUGAGGUGUCCCAGGCUGGGUCCAUCUGCAGCCCCAGCUGGAUACGUGCUGCUCCCUCGUCACCCUCCAGGAUGAUCCCAAAAAGAGGAAUGCUGACAUUAGGGGAAAAAAUGCUCUGUGAAUUGAUACUCCUGUCCUUGGUGUUUACGUGGAGACAGCGGAGGUCAGGAGCUUCAGCCACAGGCUGCAGAACCCCGUCCGUGAAGGGGCAGAUGUCCCAGCUCCAUUACCUGAGCAAAUGGCUGAGUAUCUCACACUUUCGCACUCACGCUUCAGUCUGAAACCUCUGCACUCAAGUGGAAAAUCCUACAGUUACAGCUGGCUUGGGCAGCACAGCCCCAUGGUGCAGUGCCAUUCCCAGUGCUGGAGGUGUGGGCAUAUCAGUGGUCCCACCGCUCACACCAAGGCUGAG